rnacentral:lncRNA from 1 species
GUUAAAUAAUUACAAUAAUUGUGCGCCAUGAAUCAUGCACCUGAGAGUCGGAGAAAUGAUUCAUCAGAACGAACCACGAAAGUGCAUCCAUCCGUCCAUCCAUCCAUCCAUCCAUCUAUCCAUUUGUCCAUCCCUCAUUUGCAUUCCCUUGUGAAAUGCACUGCGAUCGUGUGGCAAGUCCCAAGGGGUCUAUGUGCAUUGGGCACUACCCGAGACUAGAGGGUUCUGAGUUCUGGGGGACGCUGUCGAUCAACAGGUUUGCCUGCCUGCCUGCCGCCGGUUGCUACUCGGCUUGAUUUUUUUUCCCGCUAUUCAAAAGUGCCACCAGCUGAAAUAAAUAAAUUGCUUAAUUGUUGCUGCGGCUGAGAUGAAAUUUGCUUUUAAUUAAGAAACUUUCCGCGAGGGAGGCGGCGAC